rnacentral:lncRNA from 1 species
GGAUGAACUUGGGGACGGGACCUUCGGGUGCUUAUUUUUGGGCGUGUCAGUGCCCGCGGCCUAUUUUUGGCACACGGAGGCCCCUCGCAAAGUCUGGCCCCAUUCCGAGUCCGGCGGACGAACUUGGCCAGCCCCUCCCCCCAAGACUAUAGCCCACCCGUUUUUUGGGCAUUUUUGCGGAGGACGAACUUGGGGACGGAGCCUUCGGGUGCUUAUUUUUGGGCGCGGCAGUGCCCGCGGCAUACUUUUGGCACACGGAGGCCCCUCGUAAAGUCUGGCCCCAUUCCGAGUCCGGCGGACGAACUUGGCCAGCCCCUCCCCCCAAGGCUAUAGCCCACCCGUUUUUUGGGCAUUUUUGCGGCGGACGAACUUGGGGACGGGACCUUCGGGCGAUUAUUUUUGGGCGCGGCAGUGCCCGCGGCCAAUUUUUGGCACACAAAGGCCCCUCGCAAAGUCUGGCCCCAUUCCGAGUCCGGCGGACGAACUUGGCCAGCCCCACCCCCCAAGGCUAUAGCCCACCCGUUUUUUGGGCAUUUUUGCGGCGGACGAACUUGGGUACCGGACCUUCGGGCACUUAUUUUUGGGCGCAGCAGUGACCGCGGCCUAUUUUUGGCACACGGNNNNNNNNNNNNNNNNNNNNNNNNNNNNNNNNNNNNNNNNNNNNNNNNNNNNNNNNNNNNNNNNNNNNNNNNNNNNNNNNNNNNNNNNNNNNNNNNNNNNUCGUUUGGCUCCGCCCUCGGGCAGCCCAAGGCUAUAGCCCACCCGUUUUUUGGGCAUUUUUGCGGCGGACGAACUUGGGGACGGGACCUUCGGGCGCUUAUUUUUGGACGUGGCAGUGCCCGCACCUUACUUUUGGUACACGGAGGCCCCUCGCAAAGUCUGGCCCCAUUCCGAGUCCGGCAGACGAACUUGGCCAGCCCCUCCCCCCAAGACUAUAGCCCACCCGUUUUUUGGGCAUUUUUGCGGCGGACGAACUUGGGGACGGGACGUUCGGGCACUUUUUUUUGGGCACGGCAGUUCCCGUGGCCUAUAUUUGGCACACGGAGGCCCCGCGCAAAGUCUGGCCCCAUUCCGAGUCCGGCGGACGAACUUGGCCAGCCCCUCCCCCCAAGGCUAUAGCCCACCCGUUUUUUGGGCAUUUUUGCGGCGGACGAACUUGGGGACGGGACCUUCGGGCGCUUAUUUUUGGGCGCGGCAGUGCCCGCGGCCUAUUUUUGGCACACGGAGCCCCACGCAAAGUCUGGCCCCAUUCCGAGUCCGCCGGACGAACUUGGCCAGCCCCUCCCCCCAAGGCUAUAGCCCACCCGUUUUUUUGACCUUUUUCCGCUGGGGGGUUUUGGCGCCCCGACCUUCGGGGGUUUAUUUUUCGACGCGGCAGUGCCGGUGGCCUAUUUUUGGCACACGGAGGCCCCUCGCAAAGUCUGGCCCCAUUCCGAGUCCGGCGGACGAACUUGGCCAGCCCCUCCCCCCAAGACUAUAGCCCCACCGUUUUUUGGAAAUUUUUGCAGAGGAUGAACUUGGGGACGGGACCUUCAGGUGCUUAUUUUUGGGCGUGUCAGUGCCCGCGGCCUAUUUUUGGCACACGGAGGCCCCUCGCAAAGUCUGGGCCCAUUCCGAGUCCGGCGGACGACCUUGGCCAGCCCCUCCCCCCAAACUAAUAGCCCACCCGUUUUUUGGGCAUUUUUGCGGCGGACGAACUUGGGGACGGGACCUUCGGGCGAUUAUUUUUGGGCGCGGCAGUGCCCGCGGCCAAUUUUUGGCACACAAAGGCCCCUCGCAAAGUCUGGCCCCAUUCCGAGUCCGGCGGACGAACUUGGCCAGCCCCACCCCCCAAGGCUAUAGCCCACCCGUUUUUUGGGCAUUUUUGCGGCGGACGAACUUGGGUACCGGACCUUCGGGCACUUAUUUUUGGCCGCAGCAGUGACCGCGGCCUAUUUUUGGCACACGGAGGCCCCUCGCAAAGUCUGGCCCCAUUCCGAGUCCGGCGGACGAACUUGGCCAGCCCCUCCCCCCAAGGCUAUAG